rnacentral:rRNA from 1 species
UACAGAGGUCUCAAGCGUUGUUCGGAUUCAUUGGGCGUAAAGGGUGCGUAGGUGGCGCCGUAAGUCGGGUGUGAAAUUUCGGAGCUUAACUCCGAAACUGCAUUCGAUACUGCGGUGCUUGAGGACUGGAGAGGAGACUGGAAUUCAUGGUGUAGCAGUGAAAUGCGUAGAGAUCAGGAGGAACACCGGUGGCGAAGGCGGCAUCCUGGACCAACACUGACGCUGAGUGAGCGAAAGCCAGGGGAGCAAACGGG